rnacentral:rRNA from 1 species
AGAGUUUGAUCAUGGCUCAGAUUGAACGCUGGCGGCAGGCUUAACACAUGCAAGUCGAACGGUAACAGGAAGGAAGCUUGCUUUCUUUGCUGACGAGUGGCGGACGGGUGAGUAAUGCUUGGGAAUCUGGCUUAUGGAGGGGGAUAACUACGGGAAACUGUAGCUAAUACCGCGUAGUAUCGGAAGAUGAAAGUGUGGGACCGCAAGGCCACAUGCCAUGAGAUGAGCCCAAGUGGGAUUAGGUAGUUGGUUAGGUAAAGGCUGACCAAGCCGACGAUCUCUAGCUGGUCUGAGAGGAUGACCAGCCACACUGGAACUGAGACACGGUCCAGACUCCUACGGGAGGCAGCAGUGGGGAAUAUUGCACAAUGGGGGGAACCCUGAUGCAGCCAUGCCGCGUGAAUGAAGAAGGCCUUCGGGUUGUAAAGUUCUUUCGGUGAUGAGGAAGGUGUUUGUUUUAAUAGAACAAACAAUUGACGUUAGUCACAGAAGAAGCACCGGCUAACUCCGUGCCAGCAGCCGCGGUAAUACGGAGGGUGCGAGCGUUGAUCGGAAUAACUGGGCGUAAAGGGCACGCAGGCGGUGACUUAAGUGAGAUGUGAAAGCCCCGAGCUUAACUUGGGAAUUGCAUUUCAUACUGGGUCGCUAGAGUACUUUAGGGAGGGGUAGAAUUCCAACGUGUAGCGGUGAAAUGCGUAGAGAUGUGGAGGAAUACCGAAGGCGAAGGCAGCCCCUUGGGAAUGUACUGACGCUCAUGUGCGAAAGCGUGGGGAGCAAACAGGAUUAGAUACCCUGGUAGUCCCACGCUGUAAACGCUGUCGAUUUGGGGAUUGGGCUUU